rnacentral:rRNA from 1 species
ACCUGACUCCAUACCGAACUCAGAAGUGAAACGCAGUUACGCCGAUGGUAGUGUGGGGAUUCCCCAUGUGAGAGUAGGGCAUUGCCAAGU